GUGCUUGCUUCGGCAGCACAUAUACUAAAAUUGGAACCAUACAGGGAAGAUUAGCAUGGCCCCUGUGCAAGGAUGACACGCAAAUUCGUGAAGUGUUCCAUAUUUUU
rnacentral:snRNA from 1 species